GAUGAACGCUAGCGGCAGGCCUAAUACAUGCAAGUCGAGGGGUAACAGGAAGUGCUUGCACUUCGCUGACGACCGGCGCACGGGUGAGUAUCGCGUAUACAAUCUGCCUCAUACUAGGGAAUAGCCCGAAGAAAUUUGGAUUAAUGCUCUAUAGUAUCUUUUUAAGGCAUCUUAUUAAGAUUAAAGGUUACGGUAUGAGAUGAGUAUGCGUUCUAUUAGCUAGUAGGUGUGGUAACGGCACACCUAGGCUACGAUAGAUAGGGGCCCUGAGAGGGGGAUCCCCCACACUGGUACUGAGACACGGACCAGACUCCUACGGGAGGCAGCAGUAAGGAAUAUUGGUCAAUGGACGAAAGUCUGAACCAGCCAUGCCGCGUGUGUGAAGAAGGCCUUCGGGUUGUAAAGCACUUUCAGUCGUGAGGAAGGUAGUGUAGUUAAUAGCUGCAUUAUUUGACGUUAGCGACAGAAGAAGCACCGGCUAACUCCGUGCCAGCCGCCGCAGUAAGAC
rnacentral:rRNA from 1 species